rnacentral:misc_RNA from 1 species
AGAAUUGGGUCUUCCAAACUU